GGGCGAUUAGCUCAGUUGGUUAGAGCACUAGCUCGACAAGCUAGGGGUCGGUGGUUCGAGUCCACUAUCGCCCACCA
rnacentral:tRNA from 1 species